rnacentral:lncRNA from 1 species
AAAAAAUGUUUUAAGAAUAUUCCUGUGCAAUUUCCGCCUAGGUCUUUUGUACCCAUUUAUUGUUUCGUCUAUUGGAUAUGCGCUUUAUGGCAGACACUGCACUAGGUGCUGAGGACGCUGCAGUAAAUAGGAGAAAACCACCCUAGCUUUCAUUUGCUUUCACAGAGGGCCAAAUGCCAUGGAGGAAGUAAGAGAGCAGGUAACAAGAUGCAGAGCAAUCGGCGACUGAGGAACUUGUUUGUGGAGUGGUCUGUGAAGACCUUUGGAGGGAGUUGUAUCCCCGUGCAGUGGAUUACAGCAAUCAAGGCAUCGUUCUGAGACCUGCAUUGAAAUACCACGUGGAGUCCUUGCUCAUCCCCAUGAGUGCUUUGGGUUACACUGUGAUGUGUGUGCAGCUGUAUAUGGGCCUGUUGGGGCUGAUACAGCAGUCAUUCUUUCCAAGAGAUCUUUGAUCUGCUGAAAGGUGACUACAAAGCUGAUAGCCAAGGUACCAACACAGGGAGAGUUUCACAGUGUGGCAUGUUAGAAGGGGCGGUUCCCAGGGGCUGCUUUGCUGAGUGUGUAAUAGCUAAUUGGGCCUGCUAGGGUCAGCAAUUAGCUUGGAGCUGUUCAGAGCUUCUGACAGGGCCACCUUUAUCUGUAAACCAGAUCUUCAUUGAACAAUAACGCCGCAGCCAGUCAGGGAGACAUCCACGCAGCACAAAGCAGGCUGCAUGUGUCAGGGUAGACAGAGCUUUUCCCCGGGCUGUGGAAUUCCGAUGUCCUCUUCGCAGUGGAGCCCAGCGAUCACCUGGCUCCCUCAGAGCGACACUUGGCGGG